GAUGAACGCUGGCGGCGUGCUUAACACAUGCAAGUCGAACGAAGCACCUUGAUUCGAUUCUUCGGAUGAAGAUCUUGGUGACUGAGUGGCGGACGGGUGAGUAACGCGUGGGUAACCUGCCUCAUACAGGGGGAUAACAGUUAGAAAUGACUGCUAAUACCGCAUAAGACCACAGCACCGCAUGGUGCAGGGGUAAAAACUCCGGUGGUAUGAGAUGGACCCGCGUCUGAUUAGGUAGUUGGUGGGGUAACGGCCUACCAAGCCGACGAUCAGUAGCCGACCUGAGAGGGUGACCAGCCACGUUGGAGCUGAGACACGGCCCAAACUCCUGCGGGAGGCAGCAGUGGGGAAUAUUGCACAAUGGGGGAAAUCCUGAUGCAGCGACGCCGCGUGAGCGAUGAAGUAUUUCGGUAUGUAAAGCUCUAUCAGCAGGGAAGAAAAUGACGGUACCUGACUAAGAAGCACCGGCUAAAUACGUG
rnacentral:rRNA from 1 species